ensembl:lncRNA
GGUAUGUUAAUAUACGCCUUCAACAUAUCCCUGGAGAUUUUAGUAUCUUUGUCUAUUUUGACUCAAAUAUAUAUUUUAUUCCAUUUUAUUUACUUUUUCUGAUUGCUGUAAACAGUACUGAACAAGUACAUUAACUAAGUUCACUUUAACUAUUAUGGAUUCUUAUCUUCUUUUAUAGACACACAGCAGUGCAAAAUGAAAUGUAUCUUUCACAGAAGAUGCAGUAAAAUAAUGUUAGGAAGCACUUUGUCAUUAAUUUAAAAGAAUGUGUGAAAAUGCAAUUAGGAGGGCUAUACAAAUUCUGGAAUUCACUGCAUCUCAGGCAGUUCUUAGAAAUUCAAAUACACAUUUGAGCUACACAUCAAAUUUUCGCUGAAGACUGUUCCCCACAGCUCUUGGAGUCUUCUGAAAUUACAGUUGUGUCUGUAUACACAAGAUAUAUUGAUAUUUUUCUGAUUUUGCUCUCAAGUCCCAUUCCAUUGACUGCUUCCAAAGCAUAGAGUACACACAGGCUCUGCUGUGAUUCAUUUCUGUACUUAUUCUCUUUCUGUCCUUGUAAGUAACAUGGCCUCAGCCUCACCGCAUUGGACACAACCUGACACCUCCACUGCUCUGCAAAGACAUCUUAGAAGGUGCUUAUAGCCUAUGAUUUACCAUAGCAUAGAGACACCAUUCCUCAGCACUGAGAUAUGAUACUUUUGGCAUCCCCAUUUCUUGGCUAGUUGCUUUGUCACCAAGCCAAAUUCUCUGAAGAGAGCAGUAUGAGGUGCAAAAGAAAAAAAACCAACCUGAAGGAGCUUGUGAACAAGAAGCACAUAUUCACAGUUUUGCAGCUGGAAAAUUUCCCAUUCAUCGAGCAACAGAGCUGGCCAGGGCACCAAAGAACUGUUUCAGAUUUAAGAAGCCAAAAAUAAAAUACAUGAAUGUUUAGAUUAGCACAAACUAUCAGGACAGGCUAUGCUAUGAGAUUCCUAUAUGGUGAGGCAGCUAUGCCAUGUUGUCACAUGAUUGUGGCCUUUUUGAUGGUGGUGACAAUUUCCCUUGCCCCUGUUUUAUCUCCAGAACACAGAAUCACAGAGUCAUAGGUGUUGGAGGGGACCUCUGGAAAUCAUCUAGCCCAACCUUUGCUAAAGUAGAUUCCCUAUGGUAGGUUACACAUGAAAGUGUUCAGGUGGGUUUUGAGUAUCUGCAGUGGAGACUCCACAGCCUUCCAGGCAGCCUGUUCCAGCGCUCUGUCAUCCUCAAAGCAAGGAAGUUUUCUUUUCAUGUUCACAAAGAACCUCUGUGCUUAUGUCAUUCUGAGUCCAGUGAGGGUGGAUAGAGUGCUGGAGAAAUGUCUUCCUGCUAGGUCACAUAAGAAGAAAUGUCAGCCCAGCCCAUACAAUUGUCCUGUCAGUGUUGAAAUUGUUCACACUUUGGCUUUUGGGAAGCUUUAUAUCAUACACUGCUACAGGAACUCAUUCUGCCUGAGUGAGUGGUUACUCAUGCCUGAGAUCAAGAAAAGGAGCUUAAUCUCUAUGUGAGUGACAAAUGUCCUCUGGUUUAGUGAAUGCCAUGUUAUCAGGAGAACCUGAAAGCCUCAUUCAGGAAGCUCAUUUUUCUACCAUGAUGCUCUUCUCCAUAUCAUUUUUAUCUUCUCUAACAGGUAAGAGAUGGAAUUCCCUGCUGAUCGCAUUUUAGAGUUUCCUGAGAAGAUGCAACACAAUGGCAAAGAAGGAAGCUGUGUAGCUUCACCGUGCAAUGGAGCAUGAUCUUGUCCUGCUUACCUCAUGUCUCAUCAGUCCUUUAGAGCACUCCAGUCAUCAGAAGUCAGUUUGUAUAUAUGACACUGAUACAUCACAUCAGGCCUGGUACAAUUUCAAAUUGUGCACAAUGUGCUCUGAAAGCAAAAGCACUGUGCAGCUCCAUAACCAAUAACUCCAACAACACAGCUGUUUACUGCAUUCUCAUGUUACUGUUUCCAUAUCCACAGUUACUGUUAGUGGGAGGACUUUUGCACAGCCUCCUGCAAACCUGCCUCUGCAAUCUCAGUGCUAAUUCUUCUAGCACAGCAAAAGCUGGUACACAGACCCAUUCAGACAAGCAGUGGUGUUUUGCCUGAAAUACCCAGCAUAUCAGCAUUAAAAAUAUAGAAAAUAGUCAUUGCCAAUUCCUACUUGUGCGACAACACCUCCCCUAAGAGCAAAAUAGUGAAAAGAGCCAAACUAGGAAUUUCUUUGAGCCUUUUAGUUCUUGUCUUAGUCCUACUUACAAAACAUUGCUGAGACUCUAGACAUGACCUGCAGACAUUAUACUUCAAGUUGCCCUCAUGAAAAUUCAAAUGGAGACAGGCUGAAUACUUUUCAAAAUAAGAAAUACCCAGCAUUCCAGCAGAAUGCCAACAACCAAUGCAUCUCAGUAGUAAUGAAGGAACAGUUGACAGCAUUUACUGGAUCUGAGGAAAGAAUAUGAUAGUCUUCCUCACUUAUGCAUCCACAUGUUUAUGCCUGAGAAAUCUUUUUGAUAUGGUUUGUGUGUUAUUUGCUUAAUCAAGUUGUGUUUGGCUAUAUACUAUGUAUCUUAUCUACAUGCUGUUUUUUCCUAUCUUGUUUUGCUUGGGUUUGAUCUUUGACCUAGUUUUCCAUUCUUCUGUUUGAAUAAACAUGUUUGAACUGUUGAAGGCAUGUUGACCUCUCUUGUUUUUAUGAUUAAUUUUGGGACUCCAAUGGCUUUAUCUCCUUGCAUGAACAGCUGCUGCAAGGCAGCACAGCCAGUUCCUGGGGAGUUCAGGGUCCAAAUCUAGAAAACAGCAUGAAGAGCAGAGAGGAACUCCAAAAGGAUAAAGACUUUCAGAAAAGGAGAAAACAAUGUGGUGCCAAGUUGACAUUGUAUUUGAGAACCUGAAAUUUUGCUUAGACAAUACAGACUAUAUAACAUUGCAAAGAGGCAUCCUUCUCAGGCAUGCCAGGCUCCAAGAUCUCAAGGCCAUUGGUUAGACAGGAGGGAGAAUGAUUCUCUUUCUGUUCAAGGCAGGGAAAUGUCUUGAUUUCCCUUUGAUGAAAUGUACUAGAGGGAGAUGAAGAAAUUUACCCAUCAAUCCCGGGUUACCUAAUACUUUCAUGUUUCUCUACUGAAACUGAAUCAUACCAAAUGACAUGACGAUGUCUAAUGCCAUUUAAUCAUAUCAAAUAUGAUGUAGAAUCAACAAAAUGGAUGUUUAGACUGAUGUGCUUCUAGUGGAAGUUAUCUGGGAGGCUCAUGCUACAGAUCUCUCUUCUCUGAAUUAUUAAACUCUGUUUAAUAAUAAUUUAAUGCAGAAGACUACAUACAGCUAUUUGACUCAAAAUAUCUGUCUCCUUGCCUGCCUUGCAGAAGUUUCUUCCAUUUUUCCCUGACAAAUGAGAACUUAGAUCUGCAUGGAGGACUGUUAUUUCAGAAGCACAAGUAUACUUGUAUUAGAAUUUUACUGAUCAGGUUCACAGUAGGUUUUCUUACCCAAUAUGGACAACCCAAAAUUGACAAGGGUCUACAAAAUAUAAUCAGUACUGUAGGCAAAGUACAACACAGCCAAAUUACAUUUUCCUUUUUACCCUAAUUUGAUCAGUAUUUUUUUUUUUUGUACUCCUUAUUAGAAUAUCUUGUACAAAGUGUUGUGUUUAGUCUCUAGUUUACCAGUAAAAUGAACGAUAAGCAUUUUGUCAUUUAUCUUCAUACUAUUGAACUAGAGCAUUUGUUAAAUGAUUUUUACGAGGAUCAGCCUCAUCUAUAACAAGUCUGAUCUGACCAAAAGGGCAGUACUCAUUUCCUUUACUCUGCUUAAGUGAAAUCUUUCCUUUCAUUUUGCUUGUGAUGUAUUUAAAUUAACUGCAACUUACUGGAGUGAGUUCAAGUCCAGCAGAUCUGUUAUAAGUUUGGAAAUGGAAAGUGUUUCACACUCUGUGUGAAAAUUGACGUUUGGCAGAAAACUGGAAUUGGCAGAAAACUGGAAUUGGCAGCAACUGAAAAGGUACGGCAAAUUCUUAUGCAUGAGAUCACAGAUUAGGAUUAACACUGAUUUGUUCCCUCUAUCCCUCCUCCUAUUUCCCAUCUUCUCAUAUUUGUGAAAAUCAGAUCUUUUCCCUGUGAAAAAUUUUGUUGCCAAAACCACCAAAAUCACAGAAGACCACUGAAGCCACUAAUGUGUGAUAGCUACUAAAUAUAGAACAUUUCAGACUUUUUAGUAGAUUGGAGAAACAAGGUGAAACUGUCGUUUUGAUAAGAGCAAAAACAAUUAUCUGAUUGUUAAACACUUGGAAACAUCCUGGAGGAUAUAAUAUAGGACAUAUGCCUAUCUUGUGGCAAUAUUUGGAGGAUUGAAAUGUAAUAACUGUCUCAAAGUAUUAGAUAUAGCAAAUGCAGUGGAAUUGGUAGUGAAAGUCAUGCAGAUUUGCAUUCAGGGUUCAGAGAUGGUCAAACCAACCCAAUGUAUGAAUUCUGUUUUUUUGAAAGCCUCUAAAUCUUAUAGACUGUUCUUUCUGCAAAGAAAUCGAGUUACAAGCCCAUGACUGAGAAGUCUCACAAUGUCUCAGAUGCCUCCUUUCAAGACUCUUAGCCAGAAAAUGAAAAGAUAAGUAUUGAAUAAACAUCUGUGUUGAAAAUCUGAAGCUUACUGUCUUGUGCAGGAGAAUGAUACAAAAAGGAACAAGAUUACUGUUAAACCUAUUUCAGUUUCCUGGCACCACUCAAUUUUAAAUGACCUGAAAUAGAAUGAUUCUUCAAAGAAGACAAAGGAAAUGACUGAAGGAAACUUGGAGAAAUUGACUGAACUGACAAGCUGAACAACCCCUCAAAUUGUGAUAGGCAGCAGCACAGCCCAGUGACAAAGAAAAUAAGAAUUUGUGAAUUAAUCUAUUCCUUCAUAUAGAGAGGAUAAGAAAGAAAACAAAAAGAAAGGAAAAAAAAUGGCUACCAUGCCAGAGAACUAAACCAGAAGACUCUUUGUCGAAGUGAUUACUAAGUUUUUUAUACUUGCUUGCUAAAAUGACUUCCAGCUCUAGACUGAAACAGAAUAGAUCAUAGUCAGAUCAUCCCACAUGUAGAGUGAAAUUUCAGUUGGGCAACCUUUGCCUUUUUUUUAAUGGUUAUCUGGAGGGAUCAAGGCUAACCUCUAACAUAGUUUCACUAAAGUUUCAUUAGCUGAGUGUAUCUGUAGAAUUUCUGAAGAGAACUCCCCAGAUUUUCAAUGUCACAUCACAAUUUUAAACUAAAAAGAGAAAGUUGUAAAUAAAUAUUUUCAGUAUGUACUGAAAAAUUUAUUAAAAAUUAUAAACAUUUACAAAAAAUACAUGUUGUCCAAAAAAAAAGAAAAAUCAAACCCAAAAUGACAUAAGGUGGACUAAGACUGUCCUUUUUCACGUUCACGUAUCACGGAAAGCACGUGAUCUCUUCUGUACCACAAAGAAAGCUUGAUAAUCUGUUUGUUCUAUUACAAGAGCCACUGUAACACAUGAAAUUUGCCAAAUACAUGGAAACCUAGAUAAUUCCGAGGAAAUGAAAAUGAUCUUUUCUGCAUGUAAGAUGUGAUGAUGUUACAGUUCUACCAGUUUAUAUAAACUUGAAAAUCAAACAAAAUUUAAAAGAAAAAGCUGAUUGAAUAAGUGGUUUAAGAAUAAUUAAUCACUCAGUAUUCAUAAGCAAAAUUGUACAUAAUUUCAAAAUUUGUCUUUCUUUUUCUGUUUCAGUUUCCUUUUGCAUACCAACCAUGUACAGUAGUGUUUCUAUAAUGGAAUGAGGGUGUUUACCAAACACCAUGUUUUCUGAAAUCUGUGUUUGGGGAACUGUUAUUUCAGAGUUUGCCAAAAUAAAACUUUCUUAAAAAUAUAUUUUUUAAACUUUAAACAUAUCUGCACAACACUAUGAGGUUUUCCUUCACACAGCUUUCUCUAAAACUUAACACAGAUUGUCAUGGCCAAAAAUAUACAAUGCUGUAUUUGAAACUGUGUUAUCUAUAAACCUAUGCAAUGCACAUCAAUAACAAUACACGUCUUGUGAUCCUGACUCCUUAGAGGCUUUUCUGUUGAAGUAUAUCAUCUGCAGUAUGGACAUCACACACAACAAAAUCGAGGAUAAAAAUGGCUCUGACUUCUUACACAUACGUUUUAUUAUUAUAUUCAGCCAAAACAAAAUACUGAACAAAAGUACUUAAUAACACAAUACUACUACUGCAGUUGAUAAUGGAAUGAAAAUUGUUCCCUGCAGAUUGCCAGCUCAAGAGGAGUUAUAGAUUUGUUGCUGUUGAUCAAAAGUUACAAUUUUCUAUGAUAAUAAUGACUAUAUUGAACAGUUACUUGUUACUAUAUUAAAUGAACCAGUCAUUGGUCUUUCCAUGUAAAAAGGAUAUUUGAGUGGGACAUAGAUAAAAUACACCUGCACAUCUAUUGUUAACUGGAUCCAUCAUUGAUAGCCUGAGCAAAUGACUAUAGACUAAAGAAAUUAGAAGGUACUACCCUUUCACGUCUAGUUCUACUUCUCAGGAAAAAGACGAGACAUUUGCCCAGACAGUGUACACUUAUUUUAAAUAUGAAAAUAAAACCAUCUGGCAAACUUAUUUGGAAAUGGAAAUUCAUUUUUCAAACGCUUUCUUUACUACCUGUAAUUAUGUGCAAGUCCAAUUAAAUGCUUAAAGAUCUAAUUAUCAUCCACAAGUGAGACAUGCAGAGUCUUAAACUAUUCUGUGCUUGUAGAAGCAAAGCUUUAUUCAGGACAGAAGAUGUGAUCAAAUGCUCAUUAUCUGAUUACUUCUACAUGUCCUCAGUAAAUAAAAAAUGUAAAGCUGUAAGAAAUAACCAAGGCUUCCUGUCUGUGUCAUUACUUAUUCUGUUUUGCUACUCUUUACAUAACCAAUAAAUAUGCUCUGAGUUCUUCUAUGACCAAAGAAAAUUGGAAGGAAAAAAUCUUUUCGUAUAUCUGUCUCAGCACCGAUGCAGAAAAUGGAGUAUAUGAAUUCAGAGAGUCUAGAAAUAUCUAGAGCUGGGUUAUGCAACCUGUAAAUUUCACCUCUGCUUGGCUUAUCUCACUUCUCUUUAGGUUUUCCAGCAGCUCAGCUCUUGCAGAUCAGCCAGGAGAGAAGAACUUAUAAUCAGAUACAAGAGCUCAUAUUCACUCCUUCACCUUGGAGAAAAUGAACUGCUGUCAGCAAUUGAAGGUGGUUAUCAAUUCCCUGGGUAAAGUACAGUCCUGCAGCCACUAAUCACAGGUUGUCCUCACUUGUUAAUGCAACAGCUGCUGCCAACCUGAGAGGGUGAACUGCUGCCACAUGAUAUUUGACCAACCCACUUGAAACCCUUUCAGGUCUGUCAGAAAAAUACUGGGCCAACAUUUUUAAGAGGUAAUUUUUAAAAAGAACAGCUUUUUCAUUAUUACUUCAUUUUUCUUAUAAGCCACCUUUGGGGACAGGUAUCUCUGCAUGUCAGAAAGUGAAUGUAACAGAGAGAGGUAAAAGUUAGGUAAGCUUUCAGAAUGAAGCACUUCUGCUCAGCACUAGCUUCGGUCCUCUGUAACUUGCAAGCUUGAUACUGUUGGCCUUUAGAAGAGCCAGUGCCUGGACAGGAAUGAAGAGGAUGUUGCUAAAUAAUUCUGAGGAUUUGGUUACAGGUUCACUUCAGUUUAUCAGUACACCCCUACCUUUAUAGACUCAUUUGGGAGGCCUAAGGGCACCAAACCCCUGACAGUAAAGAUAUUUUUUAAAACAUUCUUGAAGAGAUAUCUUAAAAUAUAUAUUUUUUUAUUUUAACUCUUGAUAACUGUAUCUAUAUAAUAAAGUUCUGAUUUCUGAUUAGCUUAGCUUAGUUUAGCUUAGCUUAUUUUAGCUCAUUACUUAGGAAGUAUUCCCAAGUAAUAGCAGUUGAAAUUCAAUUGUUUGAAUCUUUUUGCAGCUACAGUUUAUAAUAUGCAGAAUUUCUGGCAAAUGUACACAAUAUGGUUGUGCCUUUAUCACAACAGCACAUCAAGCAGGGUUGGCAAGUCAGAGAUAAAUUAAAAGCCAGCAAGUAAGAGUGAAUUCUACAUUCACUUGGCUUCAUGCAGAUAAUUACUGUGAUUUUGUCCAUAUAUCACAUAUAGUUUUAGAUUUUCUGCUUCAUCUGAAAGUGGAGUACUUGUGAUAACAACAUAAAAUAUCAUCUGAACCAAACCAAAUUUCUGAAUAUGAAAGCAAUAAUUCAGAUACAGUUCAUUGACGCCAUUCAUUUUAAUCAUGAUCCAGUCCAAAAAUUAUAUGCCUUCUUAUUAAACUAUAAUAACUCAUUUAAUUUGCCAGAAGCACAAAAAAUGAAUAAAAAUAAGAUCAGAAAAUCUCACGGCUAAAUUUUGCAAUUUUUUUUUUUUUUUACAAAGCAUGAUUGCAAAAUGUAGUUCUAAUAGUUGCUUGUAUCAAAGUGCUAGUCAUUUUAUGAUUCUGAAACUGAUAGGUACUUUGACAGUUCUGAAACAGACAGUCUUUGUUAAAGCACUGCUUCUUUUCCCUUAAUUAAUUUAUUUAGGGCUUUCUCUCUGGAGCUGUUAAAUCUCCAGCAUUUAUACUCUGUCAAACAUUUCAGAGUUAAGUAAACUUGGAAAUUAUGAACUUAUGGUGUAAUUUAGUCCUGCCACACUUCACUGUAGGCAGAAGGAUGCCUACAAACACUCGAGCUUAAAAACAGAAGACAGCACAGUUCCUGCCUCACAAGGACCAGCAGGGUGACACAAGCAGCACCUCAGAAGCACAACAGGGUCUGUGCAGCAGCAGUGUUCUCGCAGGGAAUUCUCUCCUUGUGGUGUCCCUGCUGUACUAAAUGGCGUCCAGGUACUAAAUGGAGUCUGGCUCACCUUCCUCUCUGCGCUAGCAGCUGGCUCAGCUUGGAAAGAAGCCUCCCUUGGCUGCCUUAUGGCUCCAAAUUCCACCUCCUGUGAAUUCGCAGCAUCUUGCCAAAGGAUCAUUAGAGUCAUUUUUGUCACUUUUGGGCCUGAUGGAGGAAAAUGGCAUAAUCUUAACACUUACCUAAAAUUCUCACGUUUUUCACAGAUUUCGAAGCAAGUAUUUAAACCUGAAGAAGUCUAUAAUAAGUCUUGGAAAUGCUUCAUUAGCACUGAUUCUUUGUAUGUACACUUGACUGAAUUAUGAAGAAAUCGUACAUGUAGGUGUUAGCCUGUUCACCACUUUCUUUCUUCCAUGGACCUGCAAUACCGCAAGUAGCCUAAAAAUGUAUGGGCAUUUCUUCUUGGAAGCUGUCCCUGCCAGGCUCCUACAGAUACAUGGCACAGCACUCUGGUGUUAGUAAAUCUGUUGUGGCUGUAGAUGGAAUGGAAGUCAGCAAGCCACCACCAUCUGCUCCUUUCCUGCCUGGUAAAAAUCUAUACCAUCCUGGACAUUUUUGCUACAUUCAAGUGGAAAAGUAUGCUCAACUGCGCUAGGAUGUCAUCAUGACAUAUUUUCCUCGAUGGUACUCCCUAGCUGAGACCAAUACUUACCAUAGCUCUUACCAUAAGAGCUAUCGAUCCAUCAAAUUCCACAGUUGCUGAGAACCCACAGGCAAUUCACACACACAAGAGUGAUUCAUGUGCACAUCUAUUUCAGGUUUCUUUUCAAAAAGAGAGAACACACUCAUCUCAGUAAAAUUGAUAUCCGUGAUGUGGAUGUGCUCAAGCACAAGGUAUAAAUGGUAUAUCUUCUUCUGCUCACUCUAUGCAACACUGUCCACAUGACUUCAGUGUCAAUGGGGAUUUAGCUACAUACCUAAAUCCAAAUGGCGACUGAGGCUCUUGCAAACCUGAUAUGCCCUUCCUUUGAAAUUCUUUUUCCAUGAAAUCAGGUCAGUGUUACGUCUGGAAAAUUCUGUCAUAUUCACUUUGAUGUAAUGAGUGCUCUAGAGUCUGUGCUAUUAAGAUAAGGAUCUCUUUUCUAGCCUAAGUGGCUGCAGAACUAGAAAUAUUUAGUUUGUUCUUUUGCAGAUCCUGAUCAUAAACAUGCAGGUUCAUCUUUUCUCAUUAUACAGACUUAUCCAGGAGCAUUCUUUAGUUCACUUAUAACUCAGUUGGACUUUCUUGUUACCAGUCUUCAAAUGCAUUUCUACGUCACGAGCAUUUUAAGUCCAGGUGGUGAGAUAUUCAGAUUUUGUGUAAGAGUGCCUCCAGAGUUUUCUCCUCCAGUGGGUGCACUCAUUUCACCCUCAGGAGCAUUUCACAGAUUGUGCAACAUGGAAAAUUAGUUUUGUCCUCCAGAGUGCUGCAAGAGGUAGAAUUUUAUAAAUACAAGCAGAUGUCUGCCCAGUAGUGUAGAACUCUUCCUGUUGUGAAGCUCACUGCUUGUAGUACUGCUGUGACUCAAAGAGAAUGCAGUAGUAGAAGUGCUUCUGAUCAGUGACUGAGAAGCUGUUGUUAUUCAGUGGCUUCUCUCAUUUUGCCAGGUCACAGCCCUCUAAGCCAUACUAGUUUACACAGAGACUGCUUGAUAUGUCAGGAAGUAGUUUCCUUCCCAUUUUAAUACUCAGCUCAGUGUUUAACGUAUCCACUUUUGUGAUGCAUUUCAUUUGCAACUUCUACAUUUUGCAAGACAAAGAAAAAUGUGCUCAGUACAAUAAAUUGCUUUCUUAAGGCUGGAUUUUCAGAUAUUUCCCAGGCUUCCAACUGUUGAUCUGCAUUACCUCCCAUUACCUUGAUCCUCCAUCUAUUGGCUGGAUUUUCCUGCUCAAACAUUCUUCAUGCUCUCUAACAAAUGCUUGGAGAAGAAUUGUAAUUCCACACAGAUUUUCACCUUGAUUUUCAUAUUCGUUUUUCUUCCUUGAUUUUUUUUUUUAAUAUGCACUAAAUCAUAGCUCUGGAGACUCUUUCAGAUUUGAAAUUUGAAAACAGCCAAAGAGUUUCAUAAGACUUUAAUUGGACUCCAAAAGCAAAAAAUCAGGGUAAAAAUCAUAGUUUAAAAAUGAGCAUUGCAUACUUUCUUUUCUUUUUUUUUUCUUGCUUCUCAGUUAUGCAUACAUUAAAAAAAGCAUCUGCAUUUGUUUCUGUACAUUCUAUUUAAUUCCCUGGCCAAAACUUCAGCUGUAACAGGGAGCAAUAACACUUUUCAAAGUUUUUUAAUACAGUUUGACAGGUAAGACUACUAAAGCAGCAGUUCAUUAUUUUAUAUUUAUGAAUCAAGCUGAGAUUCUACAAUAUCCUGUUCUAACCUGAUCUAUUGUUGUACUCUUAUUUCCUGCUCCUGCUAUCUGACUGCUGCUAGAAAUUUUGCCGAUAGGUGCUGAUGUGUUGCCUUUGAAUAUAAUCAUGUAUUGCUGACUGUUCACUCAGUUUGAUUCAUUUGGGGUGAUAAAUGGACAUCUUGAGGCAGUCAUCAGACUUUAAUUUGACUGUAGAGAUCAUAUCUGAAAAUGACAGUUUUCCUAGGGUGCCAUUGGAGAGAAGCAGUAAUUUCACAUUUAGCUAUAUGUUGUUGGCUGUUUAUCGGUUUCUUGCAAUAUGAACGACAAUGCUUUUUCUGGUACUUACGGCACUAUUCAAAUAUAUUACAUACUACCAGUGCUUCAUAAGCUACUGAGAAAAACACAGAAACGCAACACUACAAUCUGUACACCUCAAGCAAUAAAAUAAGUUGCUUUAUAUACUAUUAAGACUAAAAACCCAUUUAUGAGUGUUUUUCUUCUAGCAUUUUUUCCCGUAAGAUUCUGGAGAGCCUUAAAUUUGAGAAGCUUUAUAUUUUUCCUUGCAAGGCUUUUCAACACAGUUACAUAUAGGUCUUGAUCUGUUGUUACAUUGAUGUGAGAAUUGUCACCAACACUUCACUUCUGAUUUAUAAGACUGGAAAUGUUCCAUCUCUUUCCUUUUCUUAUUACUCUGCUUGGUCUUUGCUUUCCCUUGCUCCUCUUUCAGUUCAUAAAACCCAUCCUGAUUGAGCCUUCCUGUUCUGCUUCAUAGAUUUGCUGGGUUUAAGGCCUAGAAAAUAAGUCCAUCCAAGCUCCUAUACAAUAGAUGCCACAGGACGCUGGACUCUACUGAGCCCCAAACCCCUCAUCUGGAUGAAAUAUACCUUUUAGGAAGCACUUGUUCUUUUUAUGAAGGCAGCAAAAUAGGGAUGCUCUUACUUCUCCUGUCAACCUGCCUACAUUUUCCCAAAUUCUCAGUUUUCCACCUUCUAGAAAAUGUACUAAAAAAUUAUCCUUUUGGUUACUGAGUAUUGUUUAUCACGUAUAAAUUUUUGGUAAAUCUGGUAUAUAAGAACCUUUCUUUCUGCAUCCCAAAAGCCUUUCUUAUUGUAAACAUCCCACCAACAGGAGCAACAUCUGAAUUUACUGACUUAAAAGUUCUCUUGCAAAUUUCUAAUGUGACAGAAAAAGCACGGAUAGCUUCAAUUAAAAAAUUUCAAAAGUCCAGAAUCUCUUUGCUGUUUUCAAGGGAAUACCUCCAAAGUAGUCCUGUCUCCAUUGUAAGUAAGCCCAGAAGUGCCAUAGUCAUUACACUCUGAAUAAGAUGGGAAUGCACCGUCCACUCUUCUGCUGGAACAUGUAGCUAUGAGAGGACAAGAAGGAGCACACAGUUAUUCUCUAACUCAGCACAGAUAGGCAUCUUUUGUGCCAUUUGAUUCGUUUUAGAAAUGAUGUGUGUGAACUGAGACAGUGCUUUGUGUGGUAAUCCAACUACACUGUUGAAAUUACAAGUUGGUCUCUACACAGGAAAUCUAAAACUUGUACCAUUCUUAUAAAGGUUUUGAGCCCUAAAAACCUGAGCUUUUGAAAUUUGGCCUACAAAGUACAGAUUACAGUUUCUAGUACUGUAGUCCUCAAAAGUCAAAAUUAUUUCCUAAGUCUACUCUACAGUACAUGAUGUUUCACAUAGUCUUCCAUUCACUUAGGAACCAUUUUUCUGUUAAAAACAUUGAUUGUUACAGAUGCAAGAGAAACUUCUAGUAUUUUGUGGCACAUUCUUAGGAAUGUUCUUACAACAAAUAUUUUUCUGAGUUUUUGUGUAUGAUACCAUACUCUGAAGAAAACCUUGAAACACUCAAAAUCUGUAAACUUCUAAAUCCACUAAAUUAACUUAAAACUACAUAAAUAAAUAAAUCAAUUUCAUGACCUGCUGCCGCAAGCAGAUAGGUCUUCAGAGAAAGACAUCCAUGGCCAUGCCCUUCUUUGAAAAAAUAUGCAGUGUUGUUGGGAAUUUUCACUACUCAUGCUUACGUGUCAGAAAAGCAAGGUAAAAAAGAAUAAAUGAUAAUAACCAGGAACUGUAUGCAUUACAAGCCUUUUUAGGUAAAUAACUUUCAGUGAUACAUAUAGAACAUAGUUUCUGUUGAAAACGUGUUAAAAGUAUUUUGUAAAAGUUUUGUAAUAUAAUACCACCUUUGUGAAAUGUGGACUGUACUACAUAGCCGUUCAGGCCUUACUGCAGUCCCUUCUGUAGUUGUCUUGUUAGAUGGGGUGACUGAAAAGUACAUAAUGUAGUUGUAAGAAAUUCUGGAAGACAAACUGACUCUCCAUUCAGCUGGACAUGUCAACAAACCCCUCUGUUAACUUGUUAUAACAUGUUUUUAUAAAACUACCUUGUAUGUGGUAGGACAAAUUAUUCAUUUUAUAUUUCUUACAGCUUCUUGUGGAAAAUAUUUGUAUUUUAUUUGGAACAAAAGCUCAGACUGGUUCUGCUGUAUGAAAGACUGCUCAUGUCAGCCACUGGCAGUAAUUCAGUCAAAGUGAGACUGGACUGGUGAGAAAAUUCUAGAAUGUUCCAGCUUCCAAAAUUGUGUUCAAAACAACAUCAUGUGCUUUUUAGCUGCAACCUCUCCUGCCUCUCUUCCCAGUGUCAGGGAUAGAAAGGGUUUUUGGAAGAACCAGAGCAAAUAUGCACUAGAGCUCCUGAUAGCUCAGCAUGCCAAGUUACAUACUGCACUGGUAAAAGUCCACUGAUGUUCUGAGAAAUAGGAAACAACACUAACUUUACCUCUGUUCUUUGGAGGUAAACAAAGAUUAAUUAACUAUCUGUGAACAAUAUACACUCAGUACUCUUUAAGGAAAUCUUAACUUGACUUAAAUACUGCCUCCAGUGAAUAUCAGUCUGUGUUAUUGUAAUUUCUUGUUUAAUUCAUUUGCAGUGAAUUUCCUCACCCCAUAGACUGAGUACAAACUGGGCUGCUGGGCUCACACCUGCCAAGAGCCUGGUUUGUGCAGUAGGUAGGAGGAGAGGCAUACCCUUGCGGUGAGAUCCUCAGGACUGAAGGCCUGUCUGGACAGCAGGAUUAGCCCAGAGCACAUGGCCAGCUCACUGCCUAAAUGAAUGUUCAGCCACACUGGCAAAGCCUUCCAGUUCAAACUGAGCCAUACCCUUACGCUGUCAAACUGAGGAACAGUUUGCAAACUCAAUGCUGCUGAUGCUAGCUAGUAUGGAGUGGGAAAAUUCAUCAAGACCCACUGCUAAUAGUGACACUUUCUCUACUUGAGUUUUUCUCAUCUCUCUGUCUGCUGGUUUGUUAAACCCUGUGGAUAUUGUUCAAGUGUAGUAACUUAAGCUAACCAGUGCAGUGAAGUUAGCCCCUGAAACAAUAUAACCCAACUUUUGAACCACAUUUAGGAGGAGCACAGCAACAACAGUAAAUGUGUUCAUCCUACUUUAUGUUUCUAUCAACUGCCUUGAUAUGUAAUAGCUCAAAAGUGAAUUUCAUUCAUUGAAAUGUAAUGCUUGAGCUGUCUUCAAAAGAUCUGUGUCAGCAGCUCCUUGUUUCAAGCCAUCCUAUUAAAAAAUGUUAUGAAUGCAAUUUAAUGCUUGUAUGUUCAAGCCAAGCAUUUUAUGGUGUUUAAAAAUUAAUGUGAAUUGAAAAGCCUUUGAUAGUGCAAACCUCAGCAUUCUGGAUUUCCUUUUUCACUCCUUUACAUGCACUGCCAAAAUAUUUGUUAACCAGCUGCAACCUUUACCCUAGUUUCGUUGGGUACUAAAAUAGUCCGUUGUGCUGCAGGCAUGUUUCUCUGCUUUUAAUUUGCUGUUCACGUAGAGUAUAGCAUGUAGUAACCGACAACUUCUUGUGGGGCAAGGGUAACCUGUAGUCUACAGCAAAAACAGCACGAGGAAAAUGUUGAGCUCAUAAUACUGGGUAUCAGCAACCUCCUCUGACAUUUAGGCAAACGUGACUUCAGUGUUCUGAAGAACUCCUUAUCAUUAGUAAUGUGUGGAGUGUUUUCUAUCCAAUCUACUUGUAUUCCCUAUAAACUCUCCAUACUCUUAUUUAAUGUAUAAGGAAGUAAUUUUAAUGCAUCUUAAGCUAAAAUGCUUCAGGCUCUCCACACAGGUAUGAGAAAAUGAAUUAUUCUGAUUUUGCCUUUGUUAGUACAACUUGGAACUUUUAAAAUCUUUCCAAAAACAAGAAAAAUGAGGUGGAAUAGUUUUCAUACUAUUCAUUAAAAACAAUGAUCAGGACAAACACUAAUCCAACUAAAAUCCUACUGAACAGGCAAACUGAAAAAGAAAGACUUCAGGACUUAAUUCUGUAACUGUAAUUUGCAGUAUGCUGCACCUUUUGUUUAAGGCUUUCAUAAAUAUUAAAAGCUGGACUGUAAUAGGUCUUUGUGGAUUAGAGGAAAAGAAGGACUUCUAUACCUUCAUAUAGUGAGUCAAGGUCACAGUCAGAGUUUCAGAAUUCAGGACAAUACUUGUAUUCAGCUGCCAUGUCCCAGAAGAUCAGUAGGAAAAAAGAGCAAUUGCAGUCAGGACAAGGUUGGCCAAAGGAAACAAAAAUAAGCUACAGAAUAAGAGAUCUGCACCAUCCUGAUUAGCUUGUAGAUUGGGAAGGCACUGAGCAUCAGUGUACAGCAAAUUCCUAAUGACAUUGUGUGCAAGGCUCUUUGUGGCUGAAAGCCAUAUUCUAGGAUUUUUAUUUCAGUCUUUUUUAUCUAUUUUUCAUAGAAAAGAAAGAUAGGAUAUGUCUCUAAGCAUAUUGUUUUAAGGAUGUUCUGGCAUUCCUAGCAAAGUGAAGAAUCCCAAACCUCUGUGGAUUUUAAUGGCUUAACCAAGUCUGUUGAUACUGGAUUUAAACCUGAGACAGAACACAUCUCUGCUUCUAGAAGUACUGGAAGAGAUCUGUUUUUAAUUUAUUUUCUAUUGUACUGAAACUCCCAUUUCCCUUGUCCCUAUAUGCAUUUGUCUUUUAAAAAUACAGUAUAAUACAGAAAAUUAUUUCUCUUGAUCUAUGCUCUCUGUAUUUACAUAUUCAAACAUAUACGUUCCACUUUAAAUAAAUAUUUGUAUAUAACAAUUAUUAGUAAUAAAAGUGAUAUUUUAAAGCUUUUGUACAUCUGAAUUCAGCAAGUUGCCGGAGGAAUGCAAAACACAGAAAGUGAAAAAACCUUAUUUCCCAUCCUUAUGCCUAGAUGUCAAAGAAAAGAAAGAUAGAUUUCAGGUGAGCUUUCAUUAGAUGUAUUUUUCUUAGGUAUAGACAUGUCAGUCAUCUACACUUGUAGAAUGUGUGUGCCUUGGGGGAAAGAAUCUUUUUAGACUGAUAAUAUAAUCUGAGAAAUUUUGGAGUUCUUUUUCAAGUAAUGAUUUGGACUGCUUUUGAGGACAGAAGCUAUGUUCUGCUAUCUGUUAUAUGUCUAUUAAUACAGAUUUAUUUUCAUAUUUUUUCAAGAACAGAAAUACAGCAUCCUUAGUCCAAACACAAUAUGCUAUUGUGUUAUUGCCAAUUUCCCUAAUUUCAUUAAGAACAUUUAGAAUUCUGUAAACUGUCAAUUUAUUUUUGUUAUUUUGUUAUCAUGUCAUAUAUCCACAAUACUAAUAUAUGCAUUUAAAAGAAAUACCGUAAAGGAUUCUUAAAAAAAUACUGCAUAUAUAUAAACAUAUAUACAUAUAUAUAUACAUAUAUAUAUACAUAUAUAUAUUUUUUUUCACAGUUCUCUCCAGUUUAUUAGGUGGCAUAUUUUGUUCAGUUGGUGAAGAAGGGGAUUUGGGCAGAAUUUGUGAACUUUUGUCAUUUUCUAGUUGAUCUAUAACAUUGGGGAAGGUUAACAGCUGUCUAAUUUCAGUGUUAUGGGAAAGCUGCUGAAUUCUUAUCCUACUUCAAGCAAAGUAGUCACUUAGAAAUAUAGUGGAAAGAGCAGAACUGAGGAAAGUGAAAAUAUCAGGUGAAAGACAACCAUGUUUGAGUUAAAUUCUGCUCUUACCUGUGUGGACGUACAUGGAUAGAUACAUAAAAGUAGUGAGUCAGAAUGUGAAUUUGUCAUGUUCCGUUUCCUCCAUAUCAUACAUUAAGAAUGAGUUAGUUUGUUCAAUUCCAGAUACCAACUAAGCUACACCAUACAAAAGUGCCUUCAGGGCUAACAUAUUGGAGCAUGUGAAAUUAGAGCACAUCAUCUUCCCUGCAGUGAGAUCUGCACACAUCCUACUACCAACGGCCCUGUCUUCUAUGGGUCCACUCAUGCACUAACCUACCAAUCAAUUGCACCUUGUAUACAAGAUCCAGAGCUGUAGAAAGUACUUAUUUCUCCUCAGGAGCCAAGGCCAGUGGCCUUACCCUCAUGCCUUAUGCUGUGCCUCUUCAUCAUCGCAUUGUAAAUGGGUUCCUGCUGCAUCACCCAAGGCAUGUUGCGUACUGACUUCCAUUGUGUUACUCAAGGUACAGAAAAUCAUGUAUUAGGUCAAAAAAAGGAGUGACUUUUAAUUAGUCACCCUACCUUGCCUUUGGUCUUGGUGAUCUGUGUAUGCCGCCUACAUGGAUAUUUUGGAGCAGCUAGUGUUUCACAGCCUCUGUGUCCUGGCUUGACACAUAGUCACCUCCCUGGACAGGCAGUCACUUAGGACCAAAAAAGACAGCUCUAGAGAGGUGUGAGCUUACUCUGAUUGCUUUCUGAG